UACGUAGGUGGCAAGCGUUGUCCGGAAUCAUUGGGCGUAAAGCGCGCGUAGGCGGCUCGAUCAGUCUGUUGUGAAAGUCAAAGGCUCAACCUUUGAAUGCCGAUGGAUACUGUCGAGCUAGAGUCCGGAAGAGGCGGGUGGAAUUCCUGGUGUAGCGGUGGAAUGCGCAGAUAUCAGGAGGAACACCAACGGCGAAGGCAGCCCGCUGGGACGGUACUGACGCUAAGGCGCGAAAGCGUGGGGAGCGAACAGG
rnacentral:rRNA from 1 species